rnacentral:rRNA from 1 species
UACGUAGGGUGCAAGCGUUAAUCGGAAUUACUGGGCGUAAAGCGUGCGCAGGCGGUUCGCUAAGACAGAUGUGAAAUCCCCGGGCUUAACCUGGGAACUGCAUUUGUGACUGGCGGGCUAGAGUAUGGCAGAGGGGGGUAGGAAUUCCACGGUGUAGCAGUGAAAUGCGUAGAGAUGUGGAGGAAUACCGAUGGCGAAGGCAGCCCCCUGGGCCAAUACUGACGCUCAUGCACGAAAGCGUGGGGAGCAAACAGG